rnacentral:rRNA from 1 species
UACGGAGGAUCCGAGCGUUAUCCGGAUUUAUUGGGUUUAAAGGGUGCGUAGGCGGGACUGUAAGUCAGGGGUGAAAUACUGCAGCUUAACUGUAGCAUUGCCUUUGAAACUGCCGUUCUUGAGUACAGUUGAGGUAGGCGGAAUGUGGUGUGUAGCGGUGAAAUGCAUAGAUAUACCACAGAACGCCGAUUGCGAAGGCAGCUUACUAAGCUGUUACUGACGCUGAGGCACGAAAGCGUGGGGAUCAAACAGGAUUAGAUA